AGCGAACGCUGGCGGCAGGCUUAACACAUGCAAGUCGAACGGGCACUUCGGUGCUAGUGGCAGACGGGUGAGUAACGCGUGGGAACGUGCCUUUCGGUUCGGAAUAAUCCAGGGAAACUUGGACUAAUACCGGAUACGCCCUUCGGGGAAGAUUAUCGCCGAAAGAUCGGCCCGCGUCUGAUUAGCUAGUUGGUGAGGUAAAGGCUCACCAAGGCGACGAUCAGUAGCUGGUCUGAGAGGAUGAUCAGCCACACUGGGACUGAGACACGGCCCAGACUCCUACGGGAGGCAGCAGUGGGGAAUAUUGGACAAUGGGCGAAAGCCUGAUCCAGCAAUGCCGCGUGAGUGAUGAAGGCCUUAGGGUUGUAAAGCUCUUUUACCCGAGAUGAUAAUGACAGUAUCGGGAGAAUAAGCUCCGGCUAACUCCGUGCCAGCAGCCGCGGUAAU
rnacentral:rRNA from 1 species